UUAUCACCCCCUCCCGCUCUAACCCUAGUCUAAGCUAUAUAUAUCCCACUCCGUACUUAUCCUUUCCACUUUCCCUCUUUCCGCCAUUCUCCAUUCUUCGUUCCCAUCUCUGCAUAUUUCUGUUUCACCAAAACGACGUCGAAUCCGAACAAAACCCCAAAACAUCGCAACUCUCUCUCUCUCUCUCUCUUUUUUUUUUCUCUCUCUCCCUCGCAAAUGCGAUUCGUUCGUGACGCGUUCGGCAUUUAGAAGAUAAGAAAAAUAAACCAAUGGCGGAGGAAAAACGGUUCCGAAUAGGGUACGCACUGUUGCCGAAGAAACAAAACAGCUUCAUCCGAGACUCGCUCGUGAAUCUCGCGAGAUCUCGAGGGAUAGACCUGGUUCGAGUCGACCCGAACCGGAACCUAACGGAUCAAGGUCCCUUCGAUUGCGUCCUCCACAAGCUCUACGGCGACGAUUGGAAGCGUCAAUUAACGGAGUUCACUGUUAAGUACCCUAAUGCCGUGGUUCUCGACUCGCCGGAAUCGAUCGAGAGGCUCCACAAUCGGAUUUCGAUGCUGCAGGUGGUGUCGGAGCUGAACAUCGACGACGGGAGCGAGACGUUCGGGAUUCCGAAGCAGAUUGUGAUAUACGACAAAGAGACGCUCUUAGACCGGCGGAACUGGGAGGCGCUGAAUUUUCCGGUGAUCGCGAAGCCCUUGGUUGCCGACGGCAGCGCGAAGUCGCACAAGAUGGCACUGGUUUUCAACCACGACGGGUUGAAUUCGCUGAAGCCGCCGGUGGUGGUGCAGGAGUUCGUGAACCACGGCGGGGUGAUCUUCAAGGUCUACGUCGUCGGCGAGCGCGUGAGGUGCGUGAAGCGGAAGUCACUGCCGGACGUCCGAGAAGACGAGCUGGUGAGGGUUUCGGAGGAUUUGCGGAGGUUUUCGCAGGUGUCGAAUUUGGCCACAGAUGAGAGAAUUGACGAUAGGUAUUAUAAGAUGAUGCAUUUGGAUGACACCGAAAUGCCUCCCCUGAGCUUCAUUACUCAGAUAGCUCGGGGGUUGAGGCGUGCCAUGAAGCUGAACCUGUUUAAUUUUGAUGUUAUUAGGGAUUCUCGAUGCGGGAAUCGUUACCUUAUUGUUGAUAUCAAUUACUUCCCCGGGUACGCAAAAAUGCCCGGUUAUGAGACUGUUUUGACAGACUUUUUCUGUGAUGUGUUGUGUAAGAAACAGCAAUGGGGCGAGGACUGUUCUGAGAAUGCUGGUUUUGAUGGUAUGAUGAUGGGUAACAAAGAUGUGAGGCGGAUGAUGUGAUGGGGAUGAGGGUGGUCUUCAAGUUUCACCUGUGGAAGAGAAAGGUAGUUCUGUUCAAGUGUGAAAAUUUUGUGUUGAAUAAUGUGUGUCUCGUUCUGAUACAUUGUCAUUGAUUGGUGUUUUUUGGGUAACCUCUGAUCAAUGGACCCAUUAGCCAAUUGGUGGGUACAGGGUAGGCAUGAGUUGCACAUUCUAUUUAGGAUGCAGUGGAGACAGUGGUGAAAUUGGAAGGUUGUUUUGUGGCUAGUUUAACCUCUUAACAUGUAUAUUCCUUAGACCAUUGCUUUUGGAGAUAGGUACUUCUCAGAUACCCUGAAGCUUUAGGAAAGUUGUAUUUUGAGGUUCAACUUCUUGCCGGAAAGUCUUUUGCUUUGUGGUUUUGCCUUUUAAUGAUGCCUUAAUUCUUCAUUUUGUUAAUUUUAUUCUCGUUUUUUGUAUUUCAUUGAUUGUUUAUGAUUUUCUUAUUCAGCGAUAUAACUGUACCUGAUUGAUGGUUUUGUAUAUCCUCAUCUGAGGUUUCUUAAUUA